rnacentral:rRNA from 1 species
GACGAACGCUGGCGGCGUGCUUAACACAUGCAAGUCGAGCGAGGCCCCUCCUUCGGGAGGGUGUCCUAGCGGCGAACGGGUGAGUAACACGUGGGCAACCUGCCCUCAGCUCUGGGAUAACUCCGGGAAACCGGGGCUAAUACCGGAUACGACCUCCACGGGCAUCUGCGGAGGUGGAAAGUUUUUCGGCUGAGGAUGGGCCGGCGGCCUAUCAGCUAGUUGGUGGGGUAGUGGCCCACCAAGGCGACGACGGGUAGCCGGCCUGAGAGGGCGACCGGCCACACUGGGACUGAGACACGGCCCAGACUCCUACGGGAGGCAGCAGUGGGGAAUAUUGCGCAAUGGGCGAAAGCCUGACGCAGCGACGCCGCGUGAGGGACGAAGGCCUUCGGGUUGUAAACCUCUUUCAGCAGGGACGAAGCGAAAGUGACGGUACCUGCAGAAGAAGCACCGGCCAACUACGUG